CCCUUUGCUCUUGUGAUUUCAUCGCGGAAUUACAUAGGCGGCGGCUUCAUCCGCUCCCAAUUGGUGCUUCUACUCCCUUCAAGGUAUUCCUUGAUUGAUUGUAGGCUGUGUUGGUUGGUUCUUUGAGAGUGUGGUUGGGCGAAUCCUCGAUUCAGGUUGCCGGUUAAAGACCGUGGUUGGCUUCGAGUUUUAUUUGCCAGGUUGCACUAGUUAUCACUGCAUGCAACAAGUUAUCCGGCUGUUCUUCAGCUAGUUAUCGGUGUUCAUCCUACGUCGCGAAGAUCGGGACAACGUGUCGCAUCAUCUGGUAUCAAAGCUUUCGUUACUACGGUAGGAAUUCUAUCCCUAGCUACAUAUAUAUUUUUGCUUUGUCCUAUCCACCAAAAAGCCAGAAAAAUAUAUUGCUCAGACCUUUGUUUCAAUCUGUUAUUUUAGUGAGUUUGGUUAUGUCGCAGUCCAUUAGAGUCUUUGUUUUAGUUGCUGAUCAUUUAUCCUUCGCGUGUUCUUUGUGCCUCUUUAUAUCUAAAAAUCCCCACAAAAAAAAUCUCUAUAGCCUAUAUCAUCCUUUGUGUCAAAGAUCCUAUCAAGUUAUAGUUUCUGGUUGUGCUUUGUUUCUAUCAAGUUUGCAAGUAUUAUAUCUGAUCACUGUAUUUAGUUAUAAAAAACAAGUGUGUCAAAAAAAGGAAAAGAAAGUGCAAAAAAAAGUGAAGUGAAAAAAAAAGUUGAGAAAGGUUCAGAAAGAAAGUCUGAAAGAUUAGUUGGUUUAUGUGCACAAGUGCUGAAAGUUUCAUAUCAAGUUUUGCAACC
rnacentral:lncRNA from 1 species